rnacentral:rRNA from 1 species
AUUGAACGCUGGCGGCAUGCUUUACACAUGCAAGUCGAACGGUAACAGGCCUUCGGGUGCUGACGAGUGGCGAGCGGGUGAGUAAUGCAUCGGAACGUACCCAGAGGUGGGGGAUAACGCAGCGAAAGCUGUGCUAAUACCGCAUGUGAUCUGAGGAUGAAAGCGGGGGACCGAGCAGCAAUGUUUGGCCUCGCGCCUUUGGAGCGGCCGAUGUCGGAUUAGCUAGUUGGUGGGGUAAAGGCCUACCAAGGCGACGAUCCGUAGCUGGUCUGAGAGGACGACCAGCCACACUGGGACUGAGACACGGCCCAGACUCCUACGGGAGGCAGCAGUGGGGAAUUUUGGACAAUGGGCGCAAGCCUGAUCCAGCAAUGCCGCGUGCGGGAAGAAGGCCUUCGGGUUGUAAACCGCUUUUGGCAGGAACGAAACGGUGUCCGCUAAUACCGGGCGCUAAUGACGGUACCUGCAGAAUAAGCACCGGCUAACUACGU